GGCGAAAGCGGUUAUCUGGGCUAUUUACUGACGCUGAGGAACGAAAGCAUAGGGAGCAAACAGGAUUAGAUACCCUGGUAGUCUAUGCUGUCAAAGAUGAGUGCUAAUAUUGGGAUAAUUUCUGAUAUAAAGUUAACACGUUAAGCACUCCGCCUGGGAAGUACGGUCGCAAGGCUGGAACCCAAAGGAAUUGACGGGGGUCUACACAAGUGGUGGAGCAUGUGGUUUAAUGCGAUAAUACGCGCAAAACCUUACCAAUUCUUGAAUAUAAGAUAAUCGACGCUUUAUUUCGUCGUUUUUUUGAUCUGUAUUUAACAUACACAUAAAUAAUUUUAUACAGGUGUUGCAUGGCUGUCGUCAGCUCGUGCCGUGAGGUGUUUGGUUCAGUCCUUUAACGAGCGUAACUCUUUUCUUAUAUUGGUAAAUUUUUUAGAAAAUAUUAAAAAACCACUUUUAAGAUACAGCUAGUGAUAAACUAGAGGAAGGUGAGAAUAACGUCAAGCCCUUAUGGCCCUUAUGAAUUGGGCUACACACGUGCUACAAUGGUGACCACAAAAAGUUAUACAAGAAAGAAAUUUUAAGUUAAUCUGUAAAAGUUACCGUGUUCGGAUUGUGAGCUGCAACUCGCUCACAUGAAGGUGGAAUCACAAGUAAUCGUAGAUCAGCACGCUACGGUGAAUUUGUACUUAGACCUUGUACACACCGCCCGUCACAUGCCGGAAGUGAGUUUUAUUUGAAGUUUAUUUAAAUGAUUUGUUAAUAUUAAACAUUUUUAAAAUUUUAAUUUUUAAUUCAUUAUUUUGUGAAUCAUUGUAAAAUUCAUAACUGGGAUGAAGUCGUAACAAGGUAGUCGUACGGGAACGUGCGGCUG
rnacentral:rRNA from 1 species